UCCAGGCGAUUAUUCCAUUCCACCCAGAAGCCCAAUUUUUUUUUUUUUUCUGUCAUAAUCUUCCUCAAAAAUCUAACCUUUCAAUCCCAUCAAACAUACAAAACCAGGAAAAAGAAAAAGCUGAACAGAGCUGCAGAUGAUUCACAAAUAGCCAAAACACAGAGACUCUUUACACAAGAACACCGCACAGGAUAUGGCAAUGCCACCGCAAGAUCGAUCAAAGCCACUACACAACUUCUCAUUGCCUUGCUUGAAAUGGGGUCACCAAAGAGUUCUUAGAUGUGUCAAACUCACUGAUGAUCCUCAUCAUCGAUCUUCUUCUUCUAUUCCUAAUGGAUUUCAAUCCCAACCCACCAGCCUUGAGACCCCCAGCAAUCACAAACCAAUCAUAAUCCAAGAAAAUCCCAUUUCUCCUGAUCUUAGAUUCAAUGGAGGUGCCAAGAGAUUGAAGGUCUCUCCUCUUAUUGAAGAAGAGAGAGGUAAUGAUGAUUCUACGAGGCCUUGGAAUUUGAGGACCAGAAGAGCGGCAUGCAAGGCGCCACUGCGGAUUGAAGAUAAGUUGAAUAUUGAUCCACCGAGAAAAGCUUUGGAGAUUGAUUCGCUGGUUAAGAGGCAGAGUAUGGAACCCCAGAAGGAGAGAAUCAAGUUUUCGGUUCCUCUUUCAAAGGAGGAGAUUGAGCAAGAUUUCAUGGAGAUUGCUAGGAUUAGGCCACCCAGAAGGCCCAAGAAGAGACCUCGAAUGGUGCAGAAGUAUUUGGACUCAAUUUUUCCAGGAUUGUGGCUAGCAGAAGUUACACCAGAUUCAUACAAGGUUCCUGAAGUUCCUGAGUCAUGAGAGGGACAAAAAUGAAAAGUGUAGUUAUUUUCUGGGGAAUUUCUUAAUUUCUGCUUGCUAACACUGGUGUAUUUGACCUCAAUUACCGACUUGACUAGCUGGCUUAUCCGUGUCAUCAUGGUAAAUUUUCCUUGCACCUUUUCGUUCUCUCUCUCUCUCUCUCUCUCUUUCUCUCUUUUUGGAGUUCUUGAGUAGAUUCAGGGAAGCUUUCUGCAAAUGAUGAAGGGAAAUUUGCAACUCAACAUGCAAUAUUUGGUCGUUGGUGGAGGAAGUUGUUGAAGACUAUGUGGGCAUGUCUUGGUGCUUCAUCAGCAACGGAUGGAACUUGAAUGGAAGUUUGCUAUUACUUUGGUUGUUAUAUAUGUGUUCACUAUGAGGCAGUAGCUAGCUAAUCAACUAACAUGGUUUACCAAUUUUAUCUAUGCAUAUUUUCAGGUUGGAAACAUUUCUAAACCUAGUUCUACAAUUACGUGAGAAGAUAUUCUGCCUAAUUCUGGUCGGAAAAUUCCACUUUAGUUCACUCUCAUUGUGCAUCACUGGUGCGUAUUCACUGGUUAAUAAUAAGCAGUCUGAGAUCUCAAAGAAGAAGCUAUAAAAAAACAGAGACAUGAAGCCGAAGCCAAAGGUUGGUAGUCUCAUGGAGCCACAUCUGUCGGAAUUGCCUUACAAGGAUCCUGUUGUACUUAAGUUUAGGUUGUCUAUAGAAUUAUUAAUCUCUAAAAUCCAGCUGAAACGUAUAUUUAGCAUCAACGCAUCUAACUGGUUUGUUGAUUUGUUGAAGGAAAAUUCUCCUAUUUUUAAAACCUGGGUCAAAUCUUGCAGCUACUUCAUAACAUUGUGUUCAUUUGUUGAGGACAAUUCUCUUAUUUUUAAACCUGGGUUCCUUCUGUUGAGAGAUCAUCCCAUGCAAUCCCAGCUGUUGGUUGACUCCACUAAUCCAGAGUUCUUUCAAGAAAUUUUUCUGGGUUGAAACUUCUUGUUUGAGCAGAAAGCCUUUGCUCUUAAUGUAAUUUUCAUGGGUAAUAUUGUGAGAGCACUGAAUAAUUACAAAAUUUUGAUGGGUAAAUAAAUUCAAUGUUUGAUGAAAAGUGUUUGUGCAAAGUAUUGUGGUUAGUAGAUGGAGUCUUUAAGAUUAGUGGAGCAUGGCAGCCUCAGAAUUUUAUAAUCUUAAGUAUUGGUUGUUGAUUCCA